AAUAGAUACCCGUGGUAGUCCACGCAGUAAACGAUGAGUGCUAGAUAUUGGGAUAUUAAUCUCAGUGUCAAAGUUAACGCGUUAAGCACUCCGCCUGGGGAGUACGGUCGCAAGAUUAAAACUCAAAGGAAUUGACGGGGGACUCGCACAAGCGGUGGAACAUGUGGUUUAAUUCGAUGCUACGCGAAAAACCUUACCAGGCCUUGACAUAAUGGUUAUACUGUGAGGAAACUCACGGGUCAGUUCGGCUGGACCAUUACAGGUGUUGCAUGGCUGUCGUCAGCUCGUGUCGUGAGAUGUUGGGUUAAGUCCCGCAACGAGCGCAACCCUUAUCCUUAGUUACCAACAGGUUAGGCUGGGCACUUUAAGGAAACUGCCGGUGAUAAGCCGGAGGAAGGUGGGGAUGACGUCAAGUCAGCAUGGCCCUUACGGCCUGGGCUACACACGUGUUACAAUGGUGGUGACAAUGGGACGCAAUAGGGUGACCUGGAGCAAAUCCUAAAAAAGCCAUCUCAGUUCGGAUUGUACCCUGCAACUCGGGGUAC
rnacentral:rRNA from 1 species